rnacentral:rRNA from 1 species
UACGAAGGGGGCUAGCGUUGUUCGGAAUUAUUGGGCGUAAAGAGCGUGUAGGCGGCCAUACAGGUCAGCUGUGAAAACUCGAGGCUCAACCUCGAGACGUCGGUUGAAACCGUAUGGCUAGAGUCCGGAAGAGGAGAGUGGAAUUCCCGGUGUAGCGGUGAAAUGCGCAGAUAUCGGGAAGAACACCCGUGGCGAAGGCGGCUCUCUGGGACGGUACUGACGCUGAGACGCGAAAGCGUGGGGAGCGAACAGG